GGCUCAAUAAACCUUUCAGCACUGACAGGACUAUGAAUCUCGUUGUGAUGGCGGUUGAAAUUGAUUGAUGGAACUGGAGCAGAGUCCUGUUUGGCCGACGGCAAGGGAAGAAUUGAGGUGAAACUGCCUGUGAGGUAAUCUCGCCCCGGGGAAGCACGGUCAGAACUUACUUCACGUGGACCAGAGUACGCGGAGAACAGAAGAGGAGCGGUCGCAGGUGCAAAGGUUCACUGAUGGAACAAGGCAGCCCACUUAUCGGCUGUAUUUCUCUACAUCCCACCGAAAAUUAGGCAAGAUGCAACACCAUCUGGUUGCUAAGUGAUUGUUUUCUUGGGUCUUUUCACUUGAUGCGACAAUCUAAACUGAAUAAAGCUCCUUCAUUUGCACAUCUGUAGUGCAGCUUUGAGACGUGUUCACAGAUGAACAAUGUGGGUCAAGUUUAGGAAAGGCCAAAUAUGCCUACUUGUAGAAACUUUUAAGCAAUAUCAUUAUGAAAGACUUUGAACAGG
ensembl:lncRNA